rnacentral:rRNA from 1 species
UCGGGAAUUUUGGGCAAUGGGGGAAACCCUGACCCAGCAACGCCGCGUGAAGGAUGAAGUAUUUCGGUAUGUAAACUUCGAAAGAAUAGGAAGAAUAAAUGACGGUACUAUUUAUAAGGUCCGGCUAACUACGUGCCAGCAGCCGCGGUAAUACGUAGGGACCAAGCGUUGUUCGGAUUUACUGGGCGUAAAGGGCGCGUAGGCGGCAUGACAAGUCACUUGUGAAAUCUCUGGGCUUAACCCAGAACGGCCAAGUGAUACUGUCGCGCUAGAGUGCAGAAGGGGCAAUCGGAAUUCUUGGUGUAGCGGUGAAAUGCGUAGAUAUCAAGAGGAACACCUGAGGCGAAGGCGGGUUGCUGGGCUGAUACUGACGCUGAGGCGCGAAAGCUAGGGUAGCAAACGGGAUUAGAUACCCAUGUAGUCCCUGAGCGGGCUGGCAAGGCGCAU